rnacentral:rRNA from 1 species
ACGCUCGACACCUACGGGAGGCAGCAGUGGGGAAUAUUGCACAAUGGGGGAAACCCUGAUGCAGCGACGCCGCGUGAGCGAAGAAGUAUUUCGGUAUGUAAAGCUCUAUCAGCAGGAAGAAGAAAGACGGUACCUGACUAAGAACGCCCCGGCUAACUACGUACCAGCAGCCGCGGUAAUCUGAGCGGGCUGGCAAGGC